rnacentral:rRNA from 1 species
UACGUAGGGGGCAAGCGUUGUUCGGAAUUACUGGGCGUAAAGGGCGCGUAGGUGGCCUUCUAAGUUGAACGUGAAAUCCCUGGGCUCAACCCAGGAACUGCGUCCAAGACUGGGAGGCUUGAAUCCGGGAGAGGGAUGCGGAAUUCCAGGUGUAGCGGUGAAAUGCGUAGAUAUCAGGAGGAACACCGGUGGUGUAGACGGCUUACUGGACCAUGACUGACGCUGAGGCACGAAAGCGUGGGGAGCAAACAGG